UACUCCUCUCCUUCCCGUCGAUCCCUCAGUUGAGGUAGUUAAGAAUAAGUGAUGACCAUCAGAAGUAUUCACGUAUUCUCCCUGCCUCCACUGUGUCGGUGGGAGGUCUACAGUAC
rnacentral:pre_miRNA from 1 species